UACGGGGGGGGCAAGCGUUGUUCGGAAUUACUGGGCGUAAAGGGCUCGUAGGCGGCCAACUAAGACAGACGUGAAAUCCCUCGGCUUAACCGGGGAACUGCGUCUGAUACUGGAUGGCUUGAGAUUGGGAGAGGGAUGCGGAAUUCCAGGUGUAGCGGUGAAAUGCGUAGAUAUCUGGAGGAACACCGGUGGCGAAGGCGGCAUCCUGGACCAACACUGACGCUGAGGAGCGAAAGCCAGGGGAGCAAACGGG
rnacentral:rRNA from 1 species